rnacentral:rRNA from 1 species
CCAGACUCCUACGGGAGGCAGCAGUGGGGAAUAUUGCACAAUGGGGGAAACCCUAAUGCAGCAACGCCGCGUGAGUGAGGAAGUAUUUCGGUAUGUAAAGCUCUAUCAGCAGGGAAUAGAAAAGAAGGUACCUGAAAAAGAAGCCCCGGCUAACUACGUGCCAGCAGCCGCGGUAAUACGUAGGGGGCAAGCGUUAUCCGGAUUUACUGGGUGUAAAGGGAGCGUAGACGGAAAGGCAAGUCAGAAGUGAAAGCCCAAGGCUCAACCAUGGGACUGCUUUUGAAACUGUCAAACUAGAGUACGGGAGAGGUAAGAGGAAUUCCUAGUGUAGCGGUGAAAUGCGUAGAUAUUAGGAGGAACACCAGUGGCGAAGGCGUCGUACUGGACCGAAACUGACGUUGAGGCUCGAAAGCGUGGGGAGCAAACAGGAUUAGAUACCCGGGUACCA